UCCCUAUAAUUGUUAUUGCCGGUUGUGGACAUUCUCUAUUCACAGUAGUGAUUCCUACAAGUUUUCAAGUUACCAUAUGGAAGUGCAGACCCAAUGGAGAGAGAGCACAGGGCUCCCUGAGUCCUGUUCUGCCCUGCAGUGCUGAGGCAUUGCUGAGUAAUCAACAGGAGCGAUCUGCUUUAGAUUCCGACGUACCUGUUUUCGCAGUCUCCGAGUCCAUGACACUUGGUCAAUCCCCGCAGGAGCCGACCAUGUGAGCCCAUUAAGAGAACAGUUCCUUCCCACCUGCCGCCUGGAGCCAGCCAACAAUCUCAGCUUCACCACUCCAUUCUUGAUUAUGUACAGCCAUUCCAAUCCUGAGUGGCAGGAUUUUGCAAAGACAGCUGUUGGGCUCCAGGAACAUUUGGAGGAGGGGAAAAAUGUGAGCACUGAAAGAUGUUUGGAAAAUUCAUCUAAGGAACUUUAAAAAAUUUUUUUCAUUCAUAAAGAUUGUUGAAGGAUUUCUCAGAGUUUCAGUUUAGCAGAUCUUUUGGAAGAUGAGAAAACGGAGGAGAUUAAGUAACCAGCACUAGGUCAAAAUGGCUAGCAAACAGCAGAGCCAAGACCUCAGUCAAAGCUGGAUGCCAUUAAUGAAAAAUAUUUUCUAAGAACUUUGCAUUGGUUAUUCAUAUCACCUAUGAAGAAUGUUAUUCAUCUUAAGGAAACAAAAUUAAAUAAAAAUACUGACGAGUGUCUAGAGAAAGAUGACCAGGAGAAUGAAGAGUCUGGAAGCCAUGUAAUAAAAGGCAUGGUUGAAGAAAUGGUAAAUAUUUAACAUGAAAAAUAGAAGAUCUGGAUGGAUAUGGAAGAUAUCUUCAAAAACUGAAGACCUAGGGUGAACUGGAAGGUAUAGACAAAGAAAUUUUAACCUUAAGUGAAGUUUCCAACAAUAAAAUUACAAACAAGGGCAGAGAAAGCUCCAAAAGGAUUGAGCACAUUAAUCACUAGAAGUACUCAAGCAGAUACGGAGAGCUAUCCACUAGGGUUGUUCCUGAGUGAAAUACCACUUUUGGAGACAUUUGGCCUAGUUGAGGGAUUCUUAAUUUGAGAUCCAUAGGUGAACUUCAUGAAGUUGAAUCCCUAGAAAUUAUAUGCAAAAUUUUUAUAUGUAUAUAUAUAUAGUGUUCCCCACACCCCUCCUGGGGAGAUGGUGAAUGUAUUUCUUCAGAUCAUCAAAGCAAUGCCGUAAAAUCUGUGAACCAAAAAAUGGAGUCCACUCCAAUUCUGCAAUCCUAUUAUUCUGUUCUGUAAAACUAGUCUUAUCCGUCACAGAGGUGCACCCAACAGAAUUGUGUGAUUGAUUUAAUGUUAGGGACAAAGGAGAAUGAAUAUAUUCAGGAAAACUUCAAGGUUUUGAGCCUAGUUACUGAGAAGAUUUGAUACCACUGAGAGAUAAAGAAAAGGAAGGUGAAGCAAUAAGUCCUAAUCAGAGGAAGAUAAUUAAGUAGAAAUAAAUAGACAAACUGAAGCCUGUCUAAGAUUCCAGCACUGAGUGUGUAAUCCAAAUAGUCCUUUACUUCAUGGCAGAAAAAUGCUGAAAUCUAGAGAUGUAUAAAUAGAGAAAAAGCUACAGAAAUUUAGAACCAUUAAAUGUUGUAACUCUAACUGGUCUAGAGAUCACUUACUUCAAUCCCCUAAUAUUAUAAAUGAAGAAACCACAUCUCAGAAAACUAAGAGACAUAUUCUUUAUCAUUGGUACCUACCUGGUUGCCAAACCAAGUCUAUGUCUACAAAUUUAAGGGGAAAAAAAAUCCGUAUUUCUAAAACAUUCAAAUCUGCAUUAAGUAUACCACUUAAAUUUUCCAGGACAAAAAAAGUUAAUCUUAACUAUAAGUAAUACACAAAUGUCCAUUUUAUUAUAAGUCCAGACCGUAACACUGACCCUUAAGCAUUUUUUUUAUCACACAUCUUUAUUGGAGUACAAUUGCUUU